GACUGUACUAAAAGACAACACGUCGUGCGUUUCUUCAAACAAUUUCAAGAUUUUACUUCGUUCCAAAGAAAAAACUACCACACAGAUGUGAAUAUUUAAACCAGAGUUAUAUUAAAGUUGGACCGACCCUGAUGACCUGGUCUAGUAUCACACACUUCUCUAUAGUAUACAGUGACAAGUACAACAGCUCGAUCGUUGCAGCCUUGGAACUACCAACAUGUGACUGAAUAACAGAUUCAAACCAAAGUCUUCUGAAAAUUGGACCAUUAGAUAAACCUUGAUGACGUGGUUUACUGUGCACUUCUUGAGUCGACAGGGAGACAAGGACAAGUAAAACACCUGUUGCAGCCUUGGAACUAUCAACAUGUGAUACACACAAGCAGAUCACAUCAACACUUAAAGCGUUCAUUCUUAGCAGAAUCAGUUGAGAAAGCGUGCUGACGUGGUCUACUACUGUGCACUUCUCUAGUCGCGUGCGGGACAAGUAAAACACCUGUUGCAGCCUUGGAACCAUCAACAUGUGAUGUGAACAAGCAGAUGACAUAAACACUUAAAGCGUUUGUAGCAGAAUCGUCAGAAAUUAUUUAUCCCAGAAAUCUUUCGCUAAAGAUUGCUAGAAUUUGAUAGAAAGAUUCUUCAUAACAAGAAUAACUUCAGAGACGUCAAACAACGGAGCUUGAAUAUGUGACUUAAUACUUUAACUUAAGUUUUCAUUAAAGACAGUGGACACUAUUGGUAAUUGUCAAAGACCAGUCUUGUCAAUUAGUGUAUCUCAACAUAUGCAUAACAAACCUGUGAAAAUUUCAGCUCAAUUGGUCGUCAAAGUUGGUCUAUCAAAUGUUUGCAAGACUCUAGCCUUAUGGUUUUAUCAAAUUUUGCUUGAAAAUGCUUGCCUUAUGGUUUUAUCAAAUUUUGCCUGAAAAUGUUU